UCAGCCCAUGGUAGGGUACCAAUACUAUGGUGAGACCUAUGGACUACCAUAACCAUAUUUAUAGCCUAUGGUGGGGUACUAAUAUAGUGGCUAGUCCUGUGAACUACUACAAUCAUGUUUCCAGUCUAUGGCAGAGCACUAAUCAUGGCUAGUCUAAAGGAUCACAGGUGCUCAACUACAACUACCACAACCACGUUUACAACCCAUGGUGAGGCGCUAAAAAUGACAAGUCUAGGGGAUUAUAAGUACUCAACUUUAAAGUUUCACAAUCACAUUUACCGCC
rnacentral:lncRNA from 1 species